AGUUCCUCUCUUAAAUAUUGUUAGCUCUUUGCCAGUCUUUGUUGUUACCUGCUGUUUGCAUACCUUGGGGCCUGAACAGUUUUUCUGCCUUAGAGGCACAUCUUUCUUCAGUACUUUUACUUCUACUAGUCCCCUCUUGGCUUUGGAGAUGUGUAGCAGAGACCACUUCAGUGACCUGUAGCAGUGCUGAGUGCAGAGGAACAGGCCAGCACAUUUCUUAUUCUCAGUCAAGGACAGUUGAGUUUUGUAGCUUACAAGCCAGCCUUUAUGGUGCCAGAAUUGCAGUUUUCUCUCUUACCCUUUGAGGGGGUAAAUUGAGUCAUCCAGGAACUUGUGGUUUGAAUGCUUAAGGACAUGUUCCAUUCAAAGAAUUGGGUUUACAUAACUCUGCUUUCCAGUCAGAUGUUACAAGAUCAUGAAAUGAAAGCCCCAGUUUUACUUUAAUUAGGGUGGAAAACCAAAGCUUAAGUGAAGAAUAUAGAACCUUAAAAUUACUUGGUUUUGUGCCUGCCAACACUGAGAGAAGGCCAUUUUACUGUAGGAAGUAGAGGCAGUUAGUAAAGACCAGUAAAUGUCAGUUUUGAUUAUUGAAGUAUGCAUCUGCUACCCCUCUGCAAGUGCUCUGGCCACGGGUUUUGGUUUGUACUGUGCCAAAUGUAGAAUUUAUUGACUGGGAUACUUAAGAAGAUACUGAGGUGAUUGCACAUCUGAAGAGAAGUAAGGCAUUCAUGAUGCUCCCAUCUUCCUGAUAAACAUGUUUGUCUUAGCUAGCCCAGCAGGUAUGAAUACUACUAUGCGUGUGCAUGAACACGUGUGUGCUGACUCAACUGGAAUGUUGGCACAUGCUGCUGUAGGCCACAGGUUAACUGAUGUUAAGUCAGUCACAAGUGUUUGCCCUUGCAGUGUGUCAUGAAGUUCGCUGACCUCCUAGUGCUCUUCUGUAUUGUGAAAAUAGUAAGGGCAAAUGGAUGGCUGAAAAAUUGCUAUAGCUGCACUUAAAUGAGUCCAUGGGGGGAACCUGUACAGGCUUUAAAUAACAUACAUACUACAGCCUAGCUCUAGGCAGGGCAUCAGACUGCUUCCUAAAACUCUUGACUACAGAAAAGCAACUCCUUGGUAAUUAACUUGUGCUGUCUUUUGCUUGUAGCAGUAGGAAUCUUUUGAAGCCAGAAAAAGUUUGGUCUGCGCCUUUGGCAGUUACUCCAGAGCUGCUCUAAGAGCUGAUUGUGCACUCCAGGAGAGCUGUGGCUGAUGGGAGUGACGCCCAAGUUACUGAAGCCUAGGCAAGGCCAAGAACAACACUGUGAAUCUCCAUCUAUGAGCCAAGAAAACUGCCUGCAAAUUUCUUUUUGAGACAAAUACUUGAGCAAUUUUCAUUUAUUAAGUGAGCCUGAAAUAUGAAGAAGUCAGCAGCAGCUGUCUUCUGUGCAAGAUCCACAAAAGGAGUGCCUGACUGCAGGACAGUAUCCGAGCUGAAGGUACGAUGUGGGCUCAAGUGUGAGUAGGACAGUGGUCAUCACAUUAGAGUUCAGUAUUAGUUUUCUAAACAACCAUCUUAAAAUAAGUAAGUGACGUGAUGCAAUCCAUUCAUGUUGCAAAGCAGCAGAACCUCUCUUACCCUUCAAGAUUAAUCUAAAGAGGCAAUAUGUGUACAAGCACAUUUUUGGAUAGGUGUGAAGGUUCAUUCUUGACUGAACGGUUUUCUAU